rnacentral:rRNA from 1 species
GACGAACGCUGGCGGCGUGCUUAACACAUGCAAGUCGAACGGAAAGGCCCUGCUUUUGUGGGGUGCUCGAGUGGCGAACGGGUGAGUAACACGUGAGUAACCUGCCCUUGACUUUGGGAUAACUUCAGGAAACUGGGGCUAAUACCGGAUAGGAGCUCCUGCUGCAUGGUGGGGGUUGGAAAGUUUCGGCGGUUGGGGAUGGACUCGCGGCUUAUCAGCUUGUUGGUGGGGUAGUGGCUUACCAAGGCUUUGACGGGUAGCCGGCCUGAGAGGGUGACCGGCCAAAUUGGGACGGAGAUACGGCCCAGACUCCUACGGGAGGCAGAAGUGGGGAAUAUUGCACAAUGGGCGGAAGCCUGAUGCAGCAACGCCGCGUGCGGGAUGACGGCCUUCGGGUUGUAAACCGCUUUCGCCUGUGACGAAGCGUGAGUGACGGUAAUGGGUAAAGAAGCACCGGCUAACUACGUG